rnacentral:lncRNA from 13 species
GGAUGGAUCACUUGAGCCCAGGAAUUUGAGACCAGCCUGGCCAACAUGGCGAAAUCCCAUGUCUACUAAAAAUACAAAAAUUAGCUGGGUAUGGUGGCAUGCACCUGAGUCCCAGCUACUCUAAAGGCUGAGGCAUGAGAAUCACUUGAACCCAGAAGGUGGAGGUUGUAGUGAGCCUAGAUCAAGUCACUGCACUCCAGCCUGGGUGAUAGAGUGAGACUCCAUCUCAAAAAAGUAAGUAAAUAAAUAAUAAAAUAAAUUAAGCAAUCUGAUAUUAAUGGAGCUUGUUUAAAAGAAAGGGACAGGCUACUCAGGCCACCAUGAGUGUAAAAUUCUCAAUUUGCAUUCCAGUUUUAGACGUCAUUAUCUUGUGGGCUUUGAGUGACUCUGCAUCUCCAGACUAGCCAAUCCUGGGACACUUGCAACAUCUUUUCUGCACCUACGAAAUUAUGGACCAGAUUCACCAACGGAAUUGCCAAUUUGUGAGCUAGGAGCUGACAGAACAUUUAGGUUGCACAAGGUCUGCUGGAGCACUUUAGAGAAUUCCAGAUGAAUCUUGAUUGCAUCCUGGAAUGCACCGCUGGAGC